rnacentral:rRNA from 1 species
GUCUACAGCCACACCAUCCUGAAUGAUCCCGAUCUCGGAAGCAAAGCAGGGUCAGGUCUGGCUAGUCCUUGGUGGGACACCACCUGGGAAUACUGGGUGCUAUAGGCU